rnacentral:rRNA from 1 species
GAGUUUGAUCCUGGCUCAGACUGUACGCUGGCGGCAGGCUUAACACAUGCAAGUCGAACGAGGUUAGGGAGCUUGCUCCUGAUACCUAGUGGCGAACGGGUGAGUAAUGCUUAGGAAUCUGCCUAGUAGUGGGGGAUAACUUGGGGAAACUCAAGCUAAUACCGCAUACGACCUACGGGUGAAAGGGGGCGCAAGCUCUCGCUAUUAGAUGAGCCUAAGUCGGAUUAGCUAGUUGGUGGGGUAAAGGCCUACCAAGGCGACGAUCUGUAGCUGGUCUGAGAGGAUGAUCAGCCACACUGGGACUGAGACACGGCCCAGACUCCUACGGGAGGCAGCAGUGGGGAAUAUUGGACAAUGGGCGAAAGCCUGAUCCAGCCAUGCCGCGUGUGUGAAGAAGGCCUUUUGGUUGUAAAGCACUUUAAGUAGGGAGGAAAAGCUAAUGGUUAAUACCCAUUAGCCCUGACGUUACCUACAGAAUAAGCACCGGCUAACUCUGUGCCAGCAGCCGCGGUAAUACAGAGGGUGCAAGCGUUAAUCGGAAUUACUGGGCGUAAAGCGCGCGUAGGUGGUUGCUUAAGUCAGAUGUGAAAGCCCCGGGCUUAACCUGGGAACUGCAUCUGAUACUGGGUGACUAGAGUAGGUGAGAGGGGAGUAGAAUUCCAGGUGUAGCGGUGAAAUGCGUAGA